GGUGAACGCUGGCGGUAGGCCUAACACAUGCAAGUCGAACGGCAGCACAGUAAGAUCUUGCUCUUACUGGUGGCGAGUGGCGGACGGGUGAGGAAUACAUCGGAAUCUACUUUUUCGUGGGGGAUAACGUAGGGAAACUUACGCUAAUACCUCAUACUACCUACGGGUUAAAGCAGGGGAUCUUCGGACCUUUCGCGAUUGAAUGAGCCGAUGUCGGAUUAGCUAGUUGGCGGGGUAAAGACCCACCAAGGCGACGAUCCGUAGCUGGUCUGAGAGGAUGAUCAGACAAACUGGAAAUGAGACAAGGUCCAGACUCCUAAGGGAGGCAGCAGGGGGGAAUAUUGGACAAUGGGCGCAAGCCUGAACCAGCCAUACCGCGUGGGUGAAGAAGGGCUUCGGGUUGUAAAGACCUUUUGUUGGGAAAGAAAAGCAGCAGGUUAAUACCCCGCUGUUCUGACGGUACCCAAAGAAUAAGCACCGGCUAACUUCGUG
rnacentral:rRNA from 1 species